AAGCAGGGCCACUUUGUUUCUUCACGUAAGAAACAAUACCAUCCGCCUCACGUGGUCCUUUGUAAUCUUGAACAACGCUACCUCCAUACCUCAAGAUCUUAAGUGUGGGAAAACCUUUUAUGUCGAACUCACUGGCAAGAGCCUUGUUUUGCUCCUCAUUGGCAUCAACUUUGGCAAGAACAACUGGUGGAUCAUUCUGGCUUAAAAUUUCCGCUGCUUUCUCAUAUUCUGGAACAAGCUUCUUGCAGUGACCACACCAAGGGGCGUAGAACUCGACGACGAUGAAUUUGUGUCGACCUACAAAAUCAGAGAAAUUGGAGUGAUCUAAAGUCACAACGAACUCCUUCGAUUGAGUGUCUUCGUUCUCAGAAGCGUAAGAUUCCGAUCCUAACAAUGCGAAUACACAUAGAAAUAACGAAAUCCAAACCCUAAUCGCCAUUUUUAUCACUCUUUUCUCUCUCAGCUCACUGAAAA
rnacentral:misc_RNA from 1 species